rnacentral:rRNA from 1 species
UGACCUCAAAUCAGGUAGGAUUACCCGCUGAACUUAAGCAUAUCAAUAAGCGGAGGAAAAGAAACUAACAAGGAUUCCCCUAGUAACUGCGAGUGAAGCGGGAAAAGCUCAAAUUUAAAAUCUGGCAGCCUUUGGCUGUCCGAGUUGUAAUCUAGAGAAGUGCUAUCCGCGCUGGACCGUGUACAAGUCUCCUGGAAUGGAGCGUCAUAGAGGGUGAGAAUCCCGUCUUUGACACGGACUGCCAGGGCUUUGUGAUGUGCUCUCGAAGAGUCGAGUUGUUUGGGAAUGCAGCUCAAAAUGGGUGGUAAAUUCCAUCUAAAGCUAAAUAUUGGCGAGAGACCGAUAGCGAACAAGUACCGUGAGGGAAAGAUGAAAAGAACUUUGGAAAGAGAGUUAAACAGUACGUGAAAUUGCUGAAAGGGAAACGCUUGAAGUCAGUCGCGUUGUCCAGGGAUCAACCUUGCUUUUGCUUGGUGCACUUUCUGGUUGACGGGUCAGCAUCAAUUUUGACCAUUGGAAAAAGAUUAGGGGAAUGUGACAUCUUAGGAUGUGUUAUAGCCCUUGGUUGCAUACAAUGGUUGGGAUUGAGGAACUCAGCACGCCGCAAGGCCGGGUUUUAACCACGUACGUGCUAGA